CCUUCCUUAGCUCAGUUGGAAGAGCAUCAGACUGUAAUUGGAUAAUAUCUGGGGGUCGCCUGUUCGAACCAGGCAGGAAGGA